GGCAGAAAGCUUCAGACACAAGUAAAGGAUAAGCUUCGCUCAAACAGAGCUCUGUACUGGUGGUUCAGCAGGCAGUACGUGCUCAGGGUUUGACCUGAGGCGUGAUUCACAGCAGCUGCUCUCUGUGUACGUCUCAGUGUGACCAUCACGGAUCAAGCCUCGGCUCAGGUGGGACUUCAUCAAGUAACAGUACCAGUGGCUCAGUGGUCUUGGAGGUGUGGUCGGAUCUGUUACCGAGAGGAACACGUGAAGGGCGAGACCAUCAACAGGUGACCUCACGGUCGCAGGGAGCCUGGAUCCUAUCCCAGGGGACUCGGGGCACAAGGCAGGGAACACCCUGGACGUGGUGCCAACCCAUUGCAGGACA